AUUGAACGCUGGCGGCAUGCCUUACACAUGCAAGUCGAACGGCAGCACGGGUGCUUGCACCUGGUGGCGAGUGGCGAACGGGUGAGUAAUACAUCGGAACGUACCUUAUCGUGGGGGAUAACGCAGCGAAAGCUGUGCUAAUACCGCAUACGCCCUGAGGGGGAAAGCGGGGGAUCGCAAGACCUCGCGCGAUUAGAGCGGCCGAUGCCUGAUUAGCUAGUUGGUGGGGUAAAAGCCCACCAAGGCGACGAUCAGUAGCUGGGCUGAGAGGACGAUCAGCCAGACUGGGACUGAGACACGGCCAAGACUCCUACGGGAGGCAGCAGUGGGGAAUUUUGGACAAUGGGGGCAACCCUGAUCCAGCAAUGCCGCGUGAGUGAAGAAGGCCUUCGGGUUGUAAAGCUCUUUUGUCAGGGAAGAAACACCGGCUCUAACACAGUCCGGGAAUGACGGUACCUGAAGAAUAAGCACCGGCUAACUACGUGCCAGCCGCCGCGGUAA
rnacentral:rRNA from 1 species